rnacentral:rRNA from 1 species
UGGGGAAUAUUGCACAAUGGGCGCAAGCCUGAUGCAGCCAUGCCGCGUGUGUGAAGAAGGCCUUCGGGUUGUAAAGCACUUUCAGCGGGGAGGAAGGCGAUAAGGUUAAUAACCUUGUCGAUUGACGUUACCCGCAGAAGAAGCACCGGCUAACUCCGUGCCAGCAGCCGCGGUAAUACGGAGGGUGCAAGCGUUAAUCGGAAUUACUGGGCGUAAAGCGCACGCAGGCGGUCUGUCAAGUCGGAUGUGAAAUCCCCGGGCUCAACCUGGGAACUGCAUUCGAAACUGGCAGGCUAGAGUCUUGUAGAGGGGGGUAGAAUUCCAGGUGUAGCGGUGAAAUGCGUAGAGAUCUGGAGGAAUACCGGUGGCGAAGGAGGCCCCCUGGACAAAGACGGACGCUCAGGUGCGAAAGCGUGGGGAGCAAACAGG